GUGCUCACUUUGGAAGAAACACGUAGUAAAAUUGGAAGUAUACAGAGAUUAGCAUGAUCCCUGAACAAGGAUAACAGUGCAAAUGUGUGAAAUAUUCCUUAUAUUU
ensembl:snRNA U6 U6 spliceosomal RNA